rnacentral:rRNA from 1 species
UACGGGGGGAGCAAGCGUUGUUCGGAUUUACUGGGCGUAAAGGGCGCGUAGGCGGUCAGCACAAGUCAGUUGUGAAAUCUCCGGGCUUAACUCGGAAAGGUCAACUGAUACUGUGCGACUAGAGUGCGGAAGGGGCAACUGGAAUUCUCGGUGUAGCGGUGAAAUGCGUAGAUAUCGAGAGGAACACCAGUGGCGAAGGCGAGUCCCUGGACAACUUCUGACGCUGAGGCACGAAAGCUAGGGGAGCAAACAGG